rnacentral:piRNA from 2 species
UGUCUGAUUCAUCUCUGUGCUCCCAGAAU